CAAGUCGAGCGGCAGCGCGGGGCAACCUGGCGGCGAGCGGCGAACGGGUGAGAUAACACAUCGGAACAUGUCCUAUCGUGGGGGAUAGCCCGGCGAAAGCCGGAUUAAUACCGCAUGAGCCCGAGAGGGGAAAGUGGGGGACCGCAAGGCCUCACGCGAUUGGAUUGGCCGAUGUCCGAUUAGCUAGUUGGCGGGGUAAGAGCCCACCAAGGCGAUGAUCGGUAGCUGGUCUGAGAGGAUGAUCAGCCACACUGGGACUGAGACACGGCCCAGACUCCUACGGGAGGCAGCAGUGGGGAAUUUUGGACAAUGGGGGCAACCCUGAUCCAGCCAUUCCGCGUGAGUGAAGAAGGCCUUCGGGUUGUAAAGCUCUUUUGUCCGGAGCGAAAAGGUUACGGUGAAUAUCCGUGACUACUGACGGUACCGGAAGAAUAAGCACCGGCUAACUACGUGCCAGCAGCCGCGGUAAUACGUAGGGUGCGAGCGUUAAUCGGAAUUACUGGGCGUAAAGCGUGCGCAGGCGGUUUUGUAAGCCAGAUGUGAAAUCCCCGGGCUUAACCUGGGAAUGGCAUUUGGGACUGCAAGGCUGGAGUGCGGCAGAGGAGACUGGAAUUCCUGGUGUAGCAGUGAAAUGCGUAGAUAUCAGGAGGAAUACCGAUGGCGAAGGCAGGUCUCUGGGCUGACACUGACGCUCAUGCACGAAAGCGUGGGGAGCAAACAGGAUUAGAUACCCUGGUAGUCCACGCCCUAAACGAUGUCGACUGGUUGUUGGGGGUUUGACACUCUCAGUAACGAAGCUAACGCGUGAAGUCGACCGCCUGGGGAGUACGGCCGCAAGGUUAAAACUCAAAGGAAUUGACGGGGACCCGCACAAGCGGUGGAUUAUGUGGAUUAAUUCGA
rnacentral:rRNA from 1 species